UCCUUCCAAUCCAUAAGCAUGGGAUGUCUUUUCAUUUCUUUGUGUCAUCUUCAGUUUCUUUCAUCAGUGUUUUAUAGUUUUCACAGUAAAGGUCUUUCACCUCUUUCCUUUUUAAAUUUAGGUUUAUUUUAAAA